GAUGAACGCUAGCGGCAGGCCUAAUACAUGCAAGUCGAACGAGAUUAAGAGGCUUGCUUCUUAUGAAAGUGGCGCACGGGUGCGUAACGCGUAUGCAACCUACCUUAAUCAGGGGGAUAGCCCGAAGAAAUUCGGAUUAAGACCGCAUAAAAACACAGGAUAGCAUUAUCCAAUGUUCAAAUAUUUAUAGGAUUAAGAUGGGAAUGCGUGUCAUUAGCUAGUUGGCGGGGUAACGGCCCACCAAGGCGACGAUGACUAGGGGAUCUGAGAGGAUGACCCCCCACACUGGUACUGAGACACGGACCAGACUCCUACGGGAGGCAGCAGUAAGGAAUAUUGGUCAAUGGAGGGAACUCUGAACCAGCCAUGCCGCGUGCAGGAAGACAGCCCUCUGGGUCGUAAACUGCUUUUAUUCGGGAAUAAACCUUUCUACGUGUAGGAAGCUGAAUGUACCGAAGGAAUAAGGAUCGGCUAACUCCGU
rnacentral:rRNA from 1 species